CUGAUAUCUUGCACCUGUGUGUUCUUUAACCUGGCCCCUGCCUCAGGCUGACAUGCUCAUAGUAGGCCUUGUCAGAGAUGACUGGAUCUAGGGCAGUGGUGGCCAACCUGUGUGUGGCAUGCAUGCUGCACUGGGCACGCAGAGCCGUGACAGCAUGCGGGCCAAGGCAGAAUCUACUCUUACGGAAAGAGCAGCUAUAUGAGGUUACUAUCCUACAAACUGGC
rnacentral:lncRNA from 1 species